GACGAACGCUGGCGGCGUGCUUAACACAUGCAAGUCGAACGGUGAAGCGCCUUCCUUUUUGGUGGGUGUGGAUGAGUGGCGAACGGGUGAGUAACACGUGAGUAACCUGCCCCCUUCUUCUGGAUAACCGCAUGAAAGUGUGGCUAAUACGGGAUAUUCUGGGUCUGUCGCAUGAUGGGUCUGGGAAAGAUAUUGUUUCGGUGGGGGAUGGGCUCGCGGCCUAUCAGCUUGUUGGUGGGGUGAUGGCCUACCAAGGCGGUGGCGGGUAGCCGGCCUGAGAGGGUGGGCGGUCACAGUGGGACUGAGACACGGACCAGACUCCUACGGGAGGCAGCAGUGGGGAAUAUUGCACAAUGGGCGCAAGCCUGAUGCAGCGACGCCGCGUGAGGGAUGGAGGCCUUCGGGUUGUGAACCUCUUUCGCCAGUGAAGCAGGCCUGCCUCGUUUGUGGGUGGGUUGACGGUAGCUGGAUAAGAAGCGCCGGCUAACUACGUG
rnacentral:rRNA from 1 species